GGGGCCCGCCGGCCGCUUCCGGUCUCCUUUAGCGGGUAGCGGGGCUGCAGACCCUGACUCACAGCCCUGGAGGCGCGCAGAGACUGGGAGAAACGCUGGGGAGGGGGCGCUGAGAACCUGGGUCCUUACCAGCUGCCCAGUCACAAAAAAAAGGGGUGCGGAGGGACACAGGUGUACAGAGAGCAGGAUUUCCUUGAGGGCUCUUCUCUGCCAAGAUGCCAGGACCAGCCAAACCAGCAGUGCCAGUUGGGCAUCCCCGAACCCCCCCCCACCACACCACCACCACCAUCAUUCUCCCCCUUCCUUGCAGCGGCUCCAGGGAGGCCGGGCCCAGCCCGAGGGCCAGGGCGCAGGGAGAAGGUUUCCACCUUCUGCCUCCCGCAUCGGCCCAACCAGUCAGACUGUCGCAACUCAGCCAAUGAGAAGCCACGAUACGUGGGACUUCCAGUUUCCUUCAAUGGACUUUUUGCUUAGAAACAGCCCUCCUAACUGGCCCCUUCCUCUAUAAAAGGGUGUUGGUCUGCUUUGUUCUCUGGACAGGCGUGUGGUACUCCCGGAAGUUGCAUGUACUGGAUGGCAACUCUCUGCUCUUCCUGAAUAAACCCAU